CUGACUAUAUCUCCAGGAACCUGCCUGCAAGUGGGAAGACCCAUGAAUCACAAGCGUGGAUCAUCAGUAAGCCAAUCGAGAGUUGAAUCACAGAAUGAAGCGUGCCACAAAGAGG